UAUCAUAAUUGCCUACAGACAGUAUGGGAUGGUUGAAACAUUUUUUACCUAUCCUUUUAAUUCUGACAUUUUAAACAUUGUGAUACCAGCUGACUUAGGCCAUGAGAUAAAAUUCUCCAAACUGUCAUCUUUCACACAAAAAUGCAUGGCUGUCUCUUUCAAUGAGGCAAUGGUGGUUAUACCGUUGUUUCAUAUGAAGGACUAGACUUUAGUUUUGAAAAUCAUAGUUCAGUUCAGUUCAGUUAUGUAUUUUUUUAAUCAUCUUAUUUUUUACACAAUUAUUUUUAAAAGACAUUUUGUGGAGUAAUUUUCCUCGACGAGGACGUUACAGAAGUUGUGCCGAGGUCAUGGGUUAAAGGUGAUGAAUGUUUUUGGCCAACAUUCAUUUCCAAGGAAAAAACCCAAAAGGCCAUAAAGAGGCAUGAAAUGCCAGGCCUUGGCUGGAAAAUCUCAAAACAAGAACACUCUUUGAAAAAGUAGAUGACUUCAGUAAGGCAAGGCAAAAGCUGAAGGACUACAACAGAAAUGGAACGGCAGUCCUCCAGUCAGAGGAUGAGGGCUCCAUGGCAAAAAGGAGAAGAAAAGCGACACAUUACCCAGGAUUUGAAAACGGCAGUACUGACUCUGAAACUGAGCAGACUCCAAAAAGAAGACCAGAGUCUCGGCCUCGGCCUCGGCCUCAACCUCUCCCUAUUAGCGCUACCCUUCCUAGUCUCCCUCCAGCCCCCCUCUCGGACAUCGCAGUGGACAUGGGUCAGGAGUCUCUGGACAACACAGGACAGGGAACUUAUACAGACAUAAGCUGGAAUGUGAGGAGGGAGUCAGACCCCUUCAAUGGUAGGAAUCAUGCUCUGUAGCAAAAUUACAAUACAAAUGAAAGUACAAAGGUGAUGUUCUGUCCUGUUCAUUUCUCUCCUUGUCUGACAAUCUGCCUCUCUUGUUAUCAUUUUCCCUCAAUGGUCAUCUAGUAAUCAAUAGCUCAGCGCACCAGUCAGCACCACCUCAACACUCAGUGCACCAGUCAACACCACCACCACCUCAACACUUGAG